AUUCAAGGGGCAGAGACCAGCAAGCUUUCUUUCAUGGUAGGUUAUAUUUGACCUUGAAGUUAAAAGGUCAGGUCUACGUUUCCGCUCAUUGUUUAUCAUUUCAUCAUACUCGUGACUUAAACCAGGAAGACAUCCCGUCCUCACCCACACAUCCUUCUCCAUUCGCAAAUGUAGAGCAAGAAAUGGUCCCUUGCUCCUCAUCCUCUCUGUAAGUUUGUUACCGAGCUCUAAGAUUGAUGGGUUAAAUCUCAAAGCAUGAAAAGUCACCUUGCAACGAAGUUUCUGAAG
rnacentral:misc_RNA from 1 species